UAGUCCUGCACGAGGAAGGAGC
rnacentral:miRNA from 1 species